UGGUGCCAGCAGCCGCGGUAAUUCCAGCUCCAAUAGCGUAUACUAAAAUUGUUGCGGUUAAAAAGCUCGUAGUUGCAUUUGUGCGCCGCGCUGUCGGUGCAACGCAUCCGCGGCGAUACCGACACGUUUGCGGAGCAUAUCGUCGGCGAGCCGUCGGUUCAACGCCGGUUCAAUAUCAAAAUCCUAUCGCGGUGCACUUCACUGUGUGUCGAGAUGGGCCGACAAUUUUACUUCGAACAAAUCAGAGUGCUCAAAGCGAGCUAAAAAUGCUGCUUGAAUAUUUCGUGCAUGGAAUAAUAGAAUAUGAUCUCGGUUCUAUUUUGUUGGUUUUCAGAACUCCGAGGCAACGAUUAAUAGGGAUAACUGGGGGCAUUCGUAUUGCGACGUUAGAGG
rnacentral:rRNA from 1 species